GGCAAGACUCGUGCCCUCAACUACUGGGUGGCAGUGGUUCGAAUGGCUAAUUUGCUUACAGAAUAUAGAAGAGGAGGUCUCCUUUCAUCCCAUCACUUCCUUCAUUUUCGCAGUCCAUUAGAUUUUUAAAGAAGAGCUCCUGGUUUCUUUUUCUGGAAUCUUUCAAAGUGGAGAGGCGACGUUCUCCUGAACGUUGGGGAAGCUACACAGGUGACUAGCAGCCCCAACACCUCAGGGGGCAAUCGUUGCCCCAGAAGCACAGUCCUGGUCGCACUCCACAGCUGUCUGUGUCUGCACUGGCCACAGGCCCAGGCUCCCACGGGACACUGAGUGUCACAUUCAGCCUGGCUCUGCUCUGCAAACAGCAGCACUCUUUCUUUGGCUGAGCAAGUGUGGGUGAAAAAGGGACCGGACCGCCUACUAAACCUGACAAGCUCAGGGAGGGCUUACACACUCACAGACCAAAAGUUACCACUAGAGAGUCUGAACAUAAAAAUUCCUAACUAGAAGUGGGUCGUGUUGAAUAGUCACGUCCUGGGCCUGUAGCUUCCUCGAGAAAGCUACCUUCAAGUUUGAACAGCUAUGAAUUGAAUUCUUUCAUGUUUUGUCUACCUGGAGGGGCUGUAUAAGAAGAUCUCAGCUGAAACAGGAAAGUGGAGGCCUUUGACUGUGGUAGUUGUGAUCAUCAGUCCUGCUGCUGCCAGAGCUGUGACACUCAAAGGAAAAGGGACACUUCUUCAGGUUCGUGAGGUUUUCAUAGCCUUGUCCAGUGGAACAGAAGGAGGGAAUCAACCUUUCAACUGUCUGCUUCUAAUUGUAAUUCCUUGAAGUAACUCACUUCUUCUCCAGCAGAACAUUGGACAAACACUGUGUGUUUCUUUAAAAAGACUUUCAGGAUUAAGUGACUUCUGGCCAAGAAACAAAAGCAGAGUCCUCCAAUGAAUUCAAAAGAUAACCCACGAUAAAAUCAGGCCCAACUUCAAGGAGACACCGGAGAAGCCCCAGGCCAGAGGAAGAACCCAAGCUGAGGAUUAAGACACUCCAUGAAGGCUACACAGAGAGUUGGUGGCCUUCUCUAACGAUGAACAGGAGACAGAGCCCCAGCACCAGAACAGUAAAACUGGAGGGCUAAAAUCCUAAUAGGCUUCUACUUCCGUUCUAGAAGUAACUGGGAAACAGCAACCUGGACACAUGACUCUUAGCAGCUUGCACCUUGUAACCUCCCCAUGUUGUCUAUCUUUGUCACUCCUCUCAAACUCACUGUACAAUUUUAAGUAACAAGGACUUGAGCACUAAUCUCUGGGGGCAGUAAAGAGAAUUGAGGUUGGGACCAAGAGACAGGUGGGGAUGGUGGCUGUGUCCCUGGGGUUUGCAGAAAAAAUGAAACCGCAGGGCACAGGCAUGUAAAGAGGCUUGGAGGUGAGCCGUUGACUUCAGAAAAUGAAGGCUAUGUAAAGCGUGGGAGCAGUCUCCGGGCAUCACUGAGGAAAGUGGUGGAAUAUUCGUUUCUGAAGGAGUUCCGAUUUCAGAAACAUCUAGGCUUUGUGUCUUCCAUCUGUGUUUUUGUUAUCAUGAAACACUGUGGGUUCCCUCUUGUGGCCCCAGCAUGUGAUGCUCUGCCCACCCGCCCCCAUGGAAACCACCCCAAACGCAGGCGAUUUGACCUACCGGGGUCAGCGGCUUCCCCUGCUUGCUCCUGACGUGUUGCUAAGAGUGUUUGAAGAGCUCUGGAAACAAGUCAUUUUUAAAUUAAAAUUUUUAUUUGAAAAAUGAUAGAAAAACAGCCACAUAGAAGCCAUGUACCCCAUCUUUUUAUUGCCAUGACACGUAGCGUGCCCAUGACCCUCCCCUCUGCUUACACACUCACUCAUUUCCUCUGUCUAAGGGGAAUUUUACCCUGGUACACACUUUGCUUAUGUCUUCCAACUCUGUUUCUAUAAAUUCAUGGUGAUGUAAGCAGUUUUAUGCAAGUAUUUCUUCUCGCAGAAUGAAGUAUAUUCAUUUGCAUUUCCCCCAACUCCGUAUAGCAUGGAUUUAUUUUCAGGUCACAAUGGGCAAAUCUACCUGUACUUUUCAAUGCUAUUCAGCAUUCCUUUCAGCAUUCCUUUCAGUAGGACUCUCAUUUGUGGAACUGGGCCUCCGUCAACACCAUUUAUGUUGUUUCCAAUUUUCUGUUAUACGCUCUCCAGCAACAAAUGUCUUUGUAAAAGCAGGGCUUAAUUUAAAAGAACUUACCCAUUUCUACUUGGUUCUUAUGGGUGAGUUUUAGUUAUGCAAUCCUACUGUUCCUGAAAAAAGGAUAGAGAAAAAAAUUAUGGCCUCAUAAAACAAGAACACUGUGACCUUCAUCAUAAACUUCAGUAUUCACUUUGUCUCUGCGAUCCAGCAAAGCCAAGGUGAAAAGAAUGCAAUCUAGAACUUUUGGCACAGUCCGUCUAAAAUGCUUGUUGUUUCUUUGCUUUUGGAACAUUGAGGCCACACCUGCUGUAUUGACUGCUUUGCAAUGGACAAAUGCGGUGGCACUGACUGGCAGAAACUCUUUUAAAGAAAUGGAGAUUUCUGGAGCAUUCACAAAACAUUACAGUAAGGAGCCUUUAAUUGACAGCAAUAAGGUUUUGUUUAAGCUUAGCUCUUUGAUAUUUCAUGUUUGUCUGAAAAAAACUGCUUAACAUGUGUCUACCAAUGAGCAUCAAAUACACAGCAGAAGUUGAAUUUGUAGUUCAGUAUGCCAUCUUGAAACAAAAUGGCAUUCUAGAAGAAUUUUUAAAUCAGUAUAACAUUUUAUAGGUUUUGGGGAAAAUGUUUAAUGUGAAUGAGUCAUUAGAGAGGUUUCAGUGUUAAGUUGGUAUUUCAAUCACACCGUAGUGGACAGUCCAGAUCUUUAGAGUUUUUCUAGUUAGUUUUACCUUAAAUCAAAUGGAUUUAAAAUUUACUGAUGGAUAUUCAUAAAGUUUGAAAGACUUUAUAAAUUAAACAUUAAAAUUUCAGUGUUUGAACUUUUUAAAAAAUUGCAUUUAUUGGGUGGCUUUGGUUAAUAAAAUCAUAUAGGUUUCAGGUGGACAAUUCUAUAAUGCAUCAUUUGUACAUUGUAUUAUGUGGUCACCUCCCAAAGUCAAGUCUCCUUCUGUCGCCAUCUAUCUGCCUUUACUGUGUUCUUCCUCCUCCCCCCCUUACUUUUUAAAUGUUUAGUUAUUUAUUAAAAAUAUGUACUUGGUAUAAAACAUUAUAUUAGUUUCAGGUGUACGCUAUAGUAAUUUGACAUUUAUAUACCUAACAAUGUGAUCACCACCCUAAAUCAAAUCAUUAUCUGUCACUACAAUCUUACCACAAUAUUAUUGACGAUAUUCCCCUUUACCUUUUUGACUCACUCCCCCCAAUUUCCUCCCCUUUGUCAGCAAUCAGUUUGAUUGCUGUUUCCAUGAGACUGUUUUUGUUUUGUUUUGUAAAAAAUCUAUUCCUUAGAAUAGAAUGGAAUGACUCACUAAGGAGUUGUAUUUUGCUCCUGUUUUAAUCCAAUUUCAAAGCUUCUUUUCUUCUCUUCCCAUCAAGUUGUGCUGCAUAGAUAAAGGCUGUGGGUCGAUCUCAGCUAUAGUUAAUGGCAUUACUGCCUUGGAUUUCCUAGGGGCCAUAAUAAUGAGACACUGAAUCUAAUUCUAACCUCCUGGUGCUUCAUUUGUCAGACCAGGGCCAUGUAAUUAGAGCUGGAAUGAGGGAAGAAGUGGUGUGGAUAGAGAGCUGAUGAGACUGCUGGGAAGGGCCUUCCACGGUCCCCGCAAACUGACUCCCACCCCCGGUUUCCCACAUGCCUCAGUGACCUGCUGUUUUCUCCUUCUUCUUUCUCCCCUACGUUGUCAUUAACUGUGAAAGAAAUAAUACAGACUUCCCAUUUAAAACUGAGUGAUUUAAGCUACAUAAAUUUGAGAGUUGCAUUGUCACUGAAAACAGGUUUUGAAAGCCU